GAUGAACGCUGGCGGCGUGCCUAAUACAUGCAAGUCGAGCGAACAGGCGAGGAGCUUGCUCCUCUGACGUUAGCGGCGGACGGGUGAGUAACACGUGGAUAACCUACCUAUAAGACUGGGAUAACUUCGGGAAACCGGAGCUAAUACCGGAUAAUAUAUUGAACCGCAUGGUUCAAUAGUGAAAGACGGUUUUGCUGUCACUUAUAGAUGGAUCCGCGCCGCAUUAGCUAGUUGGUAAGGUAACGGCUUACCAAGGCAACGAUGCGUAGCCGACCUGAGAGGGUGAUCGGCCACACUGGAACUGAGACACGGUCCAGACUCCUACGGGAGGCAGCAGUAGGGAAUCUUCCGCAAUGGGCGAAAGCUUGACGGAGCAACGCCGCGUGAGUGAUGAAGGUCUUCGGAUCGUAAAACUCUGUUAUUAGGGAAGAACAAAUGUGUAAGUAACUAUGCACGUCUUGACGGUACCUAAUCAGAAAGCCACGGCUAACUACGU
rnacentral:rRNA from 1 species